rnacentral:rRNA from 1 species
GGAAACCUCACCAGGCCCGGACACUGGAAGGAUUGACAGAUUGAGAGCUCUUUCUCGAUUCGGUGGGUGGUGGUGCAUGGCCGUUCUUAGUUGGUGGAGUGAUUUGUCUGGUUAAUUCCGAUAACGAACGAGACUCUGUCCUGCUAAAUAGUGUCAGCCUCUCUUUUGGGCUGACAAUUCUUCUUAGAGGGACUGGCGGCACCUAGCCGCACGAAAUAGAGCAAUAA